rnacentral:rRNA from 1 species
UACGGAGGGUGCAAGCGUUGUCCGGAAUCAUUGGGUUUAAAGGGUACGUAGGCGGCCGGUUAAGUCAGUGGUGAAAUCCCACCGCCCAACGGUGGAAGUGCCAUUGAUACUGGUUGGCUUGGGUUCUGUAUGGGCCGGCGGAAUUCCCGGUGUAGCGGUGAAAUGCAUAGAUACCGGGAGGAACACCGAAGGCGGAGGCAGCCGGCUUGGCAGCGACCGACGCUGAUGUACGAAAGCGCGGGUAUCGAACAGG